CAAAUCCUUCCUUCCAAGGAUGGAUGCUCUUCAUUACAUGAGUCUCUCGUAUCUUAGAGAUAUCUUUUGUUGAGUAGAGGCAUUCUGAGGUGUUCCAAUCCUCAUUUUAAAGGCGGAAGACAGAACGUGGAGACUAGGUGACUUACGCAUUGUCACACAUGACAAAGAAAGCAAGCAACUAUGAUAAAGGGUCAAGCAAAUAUGGAGUAUCGAAAGUAGACAAUGAAACAAUUCUCCAUCAGUCAAGAAAGUUGUGAAGCUAAAUUUGGAGCACACUGAAUAAAGGUGUGGUGUGCAGGGGUCACAUAAAAGGUGAGCAAGACGCUAAAGGCUCCACCUCCCCACUGUGAGGUAACAUCUGCAGUCAAACCAGAUAGCUUGGAUCUCUCCAUGAGCUGCUGAAGAGUCGAAAAACAAAUAAACGUCAACAGCGCUGAAUCCCAACAUUGUUUAAUGACAACCUUGCCAUGUUUGCCAACUUGCUGCUUAACAACAAUCCUGUUGACACUGUGUAAAAACCUUCCAGGUCCUCCCAGGUAAAUAACCCACUCCUACCGAUCACCUGGCCACCCAAGUGAAC
rnacentral:lncRNA from 1 species